GCAAGUCGACUGCAUUUAGUUGCAGGGCAGACGGGUGAGUAACACGUUGGUUAUCUGCCCCGAACUCAGGGAUAACACCGAGAAAUCGGUGAUAAUACCGGAUAGUCCCGCAAGGGUAAAGAUUUAUCGGUUCGGGAGGAGCCUGCGCAAUAUCAGCUUGUUGGUGAGGUAAUAGCUCACCAAGGCUAUGACGUUUAGCUGGUCUGAGAGGAUGAUCAGUCACAAUGGAACUGAGACACGGUCCAUACUCC
rnacentral:rRNA from 1 species